rnacentral:rRNA from 1 species
UACGGAGGGUGCAAGCGUUGUCCGGAAUCACUGGGCGUAAAGGGCGCGUAGGCGGCUCGGUGAGUAGGGGGUGAAAUCCUGCGGCUUAACCGCAGGGCUGCCUUCUAAACUGUCGAGCUCGAGCACGGUAGAGGCAGAUGGAAUUCCCGGUGUAGCGGUGGAAUGCGUAGAGAUCGGGAAGAACAUCAGUGGCGAAGGCGGUCUGCUGGGCCGUUGCUGACGCUGAGGCGCGACAGCGUGGGGAGCAAACAGG